UGAGCAGAAUGUGAGGUGGUGGAUGG
rnacentral:piRNA from 1 species